CGCUGGCGGCGUGCCUAACACAUGCAAGUCGUACGAGAAAGUCCGCUUCGGUGGGCAAGUAAAGUGGCGCACGGGUGAGUAACGCGUGGAUAAUCUACCCUUUAGUCUGGAAUAACUUGUCGAAAGGUGAACUAAUACCGGAUAAUAUCCUGGUUUCUCCGGAAAUUGGGAUCAAAGAAGGCCUCUGCUUGCAAGCUUUUGCUGAAGGAUGAGUCCGCGUACCAUUAGCUAGUUGGUAGGGUAAUGGCCUACCAAGGUUAUGAUGGUUAGCUGGUCUGAGAGGAUGAUCAGCCACACUGGAACUGAAACACGGUCCAGACUCCUACGGGAGGCAGCAGUGAGGAAUAUUGCGCAAUGGGGGCAACCCUGACGCAGCAACGCCGCGUGAGUGAGGAAGGUUUUCGGAUUGUAAAGCUCUGUCGAGCGGAAAGAAAUAUAUGGUGGCUAAUAUCCACCAUGUUUGACGGUACCGCUAGAGGAAGCACCGGCUAACUCCGUGCCAGCAGCCGCGGUAAUACGGGGGGUGCAAGCGUUGUUCGGAAUCAUUGGGCGUAAAGAGCGUGUAGGCGGCUGGACAAGUCAGAUGUGAAAGCCCUGGGCUUAACCCAGGAAGUGCAUUUGAAACUGUCUUGCUUGAGUAAGGGAGAGGAAAGUGGAAUUCCUGGUGUAGAGGUGAAAUUCGUAGAUAUCAGAGGAACACCGGUGGCGAAAGCGACUUUCUGGCCCUAUACUGACGCUGAGACGCGAAAGCGUGGGUAGCAAACAGGAUUAGAUACCCUGGUAGUCCACGCUGUAAACGAUGUUCACUAGG
rnacentral:rRNA from 1 species